rnacentral:misc_RNA from 1 species
AAGUCGUAACAAGGUUUCCGUAGGUGAACCUGCGGAAGGAUCAUUAACGUGUCUCUGGCGGGCGUUCGGCGCGCCCCUGCUCCGGCCGCAAAGCCGUGCCAGCGGGGGCGACCGGGACCCGUCCAACCUUUGCAAACCCACUGUGCACAUUCACGGCAGAAGGGGCCCCUUUUGGGGCCUGGAGGCCGCUUACACCAAACACCGAUAAUUGAAUGCGAUGCGGCUUCUGUGCUGCCUAACAACUGAAACAACUUUCAACAACGGAUCUCUUGGCUCUC